rnacentral:misc_RNA from 1 species
AAGUGGUGUUGAUCGAUUCAAGCGACAAUUUGCACAUCUUGAGGAGCAUGCUGGUAAAGGUGAACAUAGUGCUCCGAUUCUGAGGCAGCAUGCUUCCUUGCCUAGAGAGCGAGUACCUGCACCAAAAGAUGACACCUCUUCCCAAAAUAAUGAUUGUGAAAAGAGAACUGUUUCAACAACUCUACAGAGUCCACCAACGCAAUCUGAGGGAUCAGAGAACUACAGUGCUCGUAGCUUGCUGAAGAGUGCUAGCAUCAGUGGUUCCAAGUGUGUGGAAGUAAAAAGAAAAAACGCAGAGGAAGAGCCAAUCGAAGAACAAAAUGAAGAAGUUGAUGGUUUGUCUCAAGAAGUUGCUUCUCUUCAUGUUUAAUUCUCUGCAGAAAUCAACAUUUUGAAGUUUCAGUCCUUGAUUUCAGCUAGAAGCUAACUGUAGGUUAUCAGUUCCUAUUGUGUUAUAAAAUAUUACUUGCUAUAUAUAGUAGGAAAACACUCCAGCUAUUCAAAUUUUCUCAUUAGAUUACAAGGUUUGAAAUUUGUAACGAUUUCAUAAACACUACUUCCUCUACCCUAACUAACAGAGUCUUUCUUAAAUAUCGUUCAUUGUAUGCCCGUGUACUUUACCUGCGUGUUGCGUGGAUAAUAUUGAAGAGAACAACAGUAUACAUUAUGCUCGAAUAUGUCUUAUUUAUUUGAAAAUUUUUAAUUUUAUU